AGGCUGUUGGAAGUUCCAUCAUCUUGUAGCUGCUCCCAGUGGCAAAGAGCAACCAAAGAACUACAUAUUUAUCAGUGAUGAAAUUGGACACACUCGAUUUUCCUCCCACUGGUAAUAUUUGCAGUCAGCAUGAAUAGACUUUCUCAGUACAGUUUUCAACUCCUGGCACAACAGUAUCCUUUUUCCAAACUAUAGCAUAAAUCACAGAAAAGUAUCUCCUCAUUUGUUUGGGAUGAGUUUUAAUUCAGAAACAAUUUAUAGUAAUAUUCUAAGAGACUGACUGAAUUUGCUUUCCCAACUGAAAAAGGAAUCAACUAUUUGUUAUUAUUUAAUGAAGCUUUGAAGCAUGAGGAAGUCAAUUAUUCUUCAGUGCAGUGAUGUACAAAGGGGACUCCUGCAUUUUCCCUGUUCCCUGAAGAGAUUAAGAACUUCUGAGUGGAGACAAACGGGAAAAAAUAUUGUUUGUGGAACCUUGCCUAGGCUUGAUGAGAAGGAGGAAAGAGCUCUUACAGCUAAAACUAAUCAGUAACUGUGGUUUCUCCAAACAUGGAAGAAUUUUCCAUCAACAGUCACAAUGGGGAGUGUCUAGUUGGACCAUCAUGGAAGAUGGAUGGGCCUCAAGAAGGUUAGCAGGAUUAAAUGAAGCAAAAAGGAUGGAGCCCUAAUUCAAUAGGAAUGAUGUGAUUAUAAGAAGAGAAAGAGACACCAAAGCACAGAGGCAAGAUGGUGUGAGGACACAAUGGGAAGGUGGCAUCUGCAACUAAGGAGAGAAGCUUCUGGAUAAACCAAAUUUGCUGACCUCUUAACCUUGGACAUCCAGUCUCUAGAACAGUGAAAAAAUUAAUUUCUGUGGUUUAAACUACAUAGUCUUUGCAACUUUGUUAUGGCAGCCCUGGCAGACUAUCAGAAAUGCAUUAAGAUGUUCACAAAAAGAAAUGUACAAAAUGUUCUUAGCAACAUUCUUGUAUUUGGUUAUUCUGAGAAUAACCAAAGCCUAAAAACAGUCCAGAUGUCCAUCAAGUGUAAUUUGUAUAAAUUAUGUUUAUUUAUUCCAAACAAUGUAAUUUGGCAAUGAAAACUAACAGAUUACAGCUAGACACAGCAACAGGAAUAAAUCACAAACAUAAUGUUGAGCCAAAGAACUAAGUACAGAUGAGUACGUCUUGAAUGAUUCUAUUCAUAUAAAGUUAUGAUGAAUCAGUCAAAAUGAAUCUGCUGUGUUAGAAAUCAGGAAUCAGGAGACUGGUUACCCUUGGGGGUCAGUAACAAAAAGGGAGUGAAAAGGGGCUUUCUGAGAUGUUGCUAAUAUCCUGAUCCUCAAUUUCAGUGAAUGCUGGUUACAUGCAUAUGUGUCUUUUGUGAAAAGCCACAGCACCAUCACUUAUGCAGCUUUUUGUGUGUAUAUUAUACUUCAAUAACAACAAGCAAGUGAUAGAUCUGGGACUCAAACCCAGGCUUUGAGGCUCCAAA
ensembl:lncRNA LINC01069 long intergenic non-protein coding RNA 1069